rnacentral:lncRNA from 1 species
AUUGACUAUAGAUAUUAAUUUUGGAUUUUUAUUUUAUUUUUUAGUUAUAUAUAGACACAACAACUUUAUCUUAUUUAUUUUUAUGUGGUGCUAAGGAUCAAACCCAGUGCCUCACACGUUCUAGGCAAGCACUCUACCACUGAGCCCCAGCCCCAGCCCCUUAAUUUUGGAUUUUCAUGUACAUAAAUAUUAUUUCUGGAUAAGCUUUAUUUCUACCUAUCUACUAUUUUUUUUUUUUUUUUUUUUAGAUGGGGCCUUGCUAUGUUGCCUAGUCUGGCCUUGAACUUCUGGGCCCAAGAAAUUCUUCUAUCUCAGUGUUCUGAGAAGUUGAGACUACAGGUGCAUAUCACUAUGUCUGGCAAAGAUUACAUAUGUAUUUUGUUAAUUAUUCCUUGUCUAUAUGAUACUAUAAAAAAUUGCAGUAGGCCAUAAGACCCUCAUUCCAGAAGAUUACCACUCCAUACCUGGGAGGAUGGAAUAUCAGGCAAAGAUCAAAAAGAAUGUGGAUUGGCCUUACUGGGUUUCUCCCUUCAGUCUGCUAUAUCACAUUUCUACACAGCUGUUCACUCUUCAUCUAGUCUUGCAUAAAUAAUUUCCCUUGGAUCUUUCCAUCUUCAAUUCUGAAGUUUCCCAUAUCAAAGUCUUAUUAAACAAAUUUCUCAAAAAAAAAAAAUUGCAGUGCUGGGAUCACUGUACUGAACCCUAGUCUCCCAUGUUAAAAAAAAAUAAAAAAUGAACCCAGGGGUGCUUUACCACUUAGCUAAGUCCCCAGCCCUUUUUAUUUU